rnacentral:piRNA from 1 species
ACUCUACAACCUUAGGACUUGCA